GAACGCUGGCGGCGUGCUUAACACAUGCAAGUCGAACGAGAAAGUUUUCUUCGGAAAAUGAGUAGAGUGGCGCACGGGUGAGUAACGCGUAAGUAAUCUACCCUCAUAUCUGGGAUAACCACGGGAAACUGUGGCUAAUACCGGAUAGUUUCUUUUAGAUGCAGAUUUAAAAGAAUAAAGGUGGCCUCUGAUUAAGCUACUGUAUGAGGAUGAGCUUGCGUACCAUUAGCUAGUAGGUGGGGUAACGGCCCACCUAGGCAACGAUGGUUAGCUGGUCUGAGAGGAUGAUCAGCCACACUGGAACUGACACACGGUCCAGACUCCUACGGGAGGCAGCAGUGAGGAAUUUUGCGCAAUGGGGGAAACCCUGACGCAGCAACGCCGCGUGAGUGAUGAAGGCUUUCGGGUCGUAAAGCUCUGUCAAGUGGGAAGAAUUCACCUGAUGCUAAUAUCAUCAGGAAUUGACGGUACCACUGAAGGAAGCACCGGCUAACUCCGUGCCAGCAGCCGCGGUAAUAC
rnacentral:rRNA from 1 species